rnacentral:rRNA from 1 species
ACAUAUGGGGGGAACACCCUCCAAGGCUAAGUAAUACUCUGUGACCGAUAGCGAACAAGUACCGUGAGGGAAAGGUGAAAAGAACCCCUAUUAGGGGAGUGAAAAAGACCUGAAACCGAAUGCUUACAAACAGUAGGAGCUACAUUACGUAGUGACUGCGUACCUUUUGUAUAAUGGGUCAGCGAGUUAAUUUAUUGAGCAAGCUUAAGCCGUUAGGUGUAGGCGAAGCGAAAGCGAGUAUGAAUAGUGCGUUUUAGUUCGAUGGAUUAGACCCGAAACCGGGUGAUCUAGCUAUGGGCAGGUUGAAGGUGCGGUAACACGCACUGGAGGACCGAACCCACGUCUGUUGAAAAAGACGGGGAUGACCUGUGGCUAGGGGUGAAAGGCCAAUCAAACCCGGAGAUAGCUGGUUCUCCGCGAAAACUAUUUAGGUAGUGCGUCAGAUGUUUACCGCAGGGGGUAGAGCACUGGAUGGGCUAGGGGGGCGCGAGCCUUACCAAACCUAACCAAACUCCGAAUACCUGUAAGUAUAGUCUGGCAGACAGACUAUGGGUGCUAAGGUCCAUAGUCGAAAGGGAAACAGCCCAGACCACCAGCUAAGGUCCCAAAGUUAUGGUUAAGUGGGAAAGGAUGUGGGAAGGCCAAGACAGCCAGGAGGUUGGCUUAGAAGCAGCCAUCCUUUAAAGAUAGCGUAACAGCUCACUGGUCUAGAUAAGCCGGCCUGCGCCGAAGAUGUAACGGGGCUAAAGCCACAUACCGAGGCUGAGGACGUGAUUUAUCACGUGGUAGCAGAGCGUUCUGUAGGCCUGCGAAGCGUAAUCGUGAGAUUGCGUGGAGGUAUCAGAAGUGAGAAUGCUGACAUGAGUAGCGAUAAAGAGUGUGAGAAACACUCUCGCCGUAAGCCCAAGGGUUCCUGCGCAAGGCUAAUCCGCGCAGGGUGAGUCGGCCCCUAAGACGAGGGCGAAAGCCGUAGUCGAUGGGAAUCAGGUUAAUAUUCCUGAACCUGUUGGUAGUGACGGAUGACGUAAGUUGUACAUGCUUAUCGGAUUGUGUGUGCAGCGAAGUUGUCCCAGGAAAUAGCUCCAUCAUGAGGACCGUACCCCAAACCGACACAGGUGGGCAGGUAGAGAGUACCGAGGCGCUUGAGAGAACGAUGUUGAAGGAACUCGGCAAAUUGCCCCCGUAACUUCGGGAGAAGGGGGGCCUGUAUUUGGGCAACCAGAUACAGGUGGCACAGAAUAGGGGGUGGCGACUGUUUAUUAAAAACACAGGGCUCUGCGAAGUAGUAUAUACGACGUAUAGGGUCUGACGCCUGCCCGGUGCUGGAAGGUUAAGAGGAGGAGUGCAAGCUCCGAAUUGAAGCCCCAGUAAACGGCGGCCGUAACUAUAACGGUCCUAAGGUAGCGAAAUUCCUUGUCGGGUAAGUUCCGACCUGCACGAAUGGCGUAACGACUUCCCCGCUGUCUCCAACAUCGACUCAGCGAAAUUGAAUUCCCCGUGAAGAUGCGGGGUACCCGCGGUCAGACGGAAAGACCCCGUGCACCUUUACUA